rnacentral:rRNA from 1 species
AAACCCCCUCGCCGAAAGACUAAGGUUUCCUGAUCAACGCUAAUCGGAUCAGGGUAAGUCGGGUCCUAAGGCUCAGCCGAACGGCGAGGCCGAUGGCAGAACCGGUUAAUAUUCCGGUACUACCUGUGGGAGUGACGUGGAGACGGAGUCGUGACAGCGCCGCGGACUGACGGAAUAGUCCGUUGAAGGGUGUAGAUGCUGAUUGUUCCAGGCAAAUCCGGAGCAAGAGUCGAACCUGAUAGUAUGGAGCGUUCUUAGAACAAUCCAAUAGUGCGUGUAAUCAUACUUCCAAGAAAAUCCGCUAAACUUAAUCCUGCAGGUACCCGUACCGCAAACGGACACACGUAGUCGGGUUGAAUAUACUAAGGCGCUUGAGUGAUUCACGGUUAAGGAACUAGGCAAACUGACCCUGUAACUUCGGGAUAAAGGGUCCUCGCUUAACGGCGAGGCGCAGAGAAUAGGUCCAGGCAACUGUUUAACAAAAACACAGGGCUGUGCAAAAUUGAAAGAUGAAGUAUACAGCCUGACACCUGCCCGGUGCUGGAAGGUUAAGAGGAGAUGUCAUCGCAAGAGAAGCAUUGAAUUGAAGCCCCAGUAAACGGCGGCCGUAACUAUAACGGUCCUAAGGUAGCGAAAUUCCUUGUCAGGUAAGUUCUGACCCGCAUGAAAGGCGUAAUGAUUUGGGCACUGUCUCAACAGCCCGCCCGGCGAAAUUGUAGUACCGGUGAAGAUGCCGGUUACCCGCGACAAGACGGAAAGACCCCAUGGAGCUUUACUGUAGCCUAAUAUUGGGUUUCGAUGUUGCAUGCACAGGAUAGAUGGGACACAGGGAAACAAUCGCUUUGGCGGUUGCGGAGUGGCCGUUGGGAUACCAUCCUUGCGAUAUUGGAAUUCUAACCUGCGGCUCUGAAUCGAGUCGGGGGACAUUGUUAGGUGGGCAGUUUGACUGGGGCGGUCGCCUCCUAAAAAGUAACGGAGGCGUUCAAAGGUUCGCUCAGCUUGAACGGAAAUCAAGCAAAAGAGUGCAAACGCAGAAGCGAGCCUAACUGCGAGACUGACGGGUCGAGCAGUAACGAAAGUUGGAGUUAGUGAUCCGGUGGUAUGUGAGUGGAAAUGCCAUCGCUCAACGGAUAAAAGUUACCCUGGGGAUAACAGGCUGAUCUCCCCCAAGAGUCCACAUCGACGGGGAGGUUUGGCACCUCGAUGUCGGCUCAUCGCAUCCUGGGGCUGUAUUCGGUCCCAAGGGUUUGGCUGUUCGCCAAUUAAAGCGGUACGCGAGCUGGGUUCAGAACGUCGUGAGACAGUUCGGUCCCUAUCUGUCGUGGGCGCAGGAUAUUUGAUGGGAGCUGUCCCUAGUACGAGAGGACCGGGACGGACGUACCUCUGGCGCACCAGUUGUUCCGCCAGGAGCAUAGCUGGGCAACUACGUACGGAUCGGAUAAACGCUGAAAGCAUCUAAGCGUGAAGCCGACCCAAAGAUAAGAUAUCCCACUGAUUUGAUCAGGUAAGACCCCUUGAAGACUACAAGGUCGAUAGGCACGAUGUGUAAGUGGAGCGAUCCAUUCAGCAAGCGUGUACUAAUAGGUCGAGGGCUUGACCA